UGUGAGGUUUUCUUUGCCUUUAGGGGAGUUGGGAGUGAAUAUAUCAGAGUGUGCUAUGCAGAAGACAUUUGAAAUGGAGUUCCUUGAGUUUUCAAACAUGCACAUCCUUUAUCUCAUAUGAGAAUGUAAGGGAAAUUUGGAAGAACUUGAGCAGCAUUCACUUUGCA
rnacentral:lncRNA from 1 species